rnacentral:rRNA from 1 species
GUAGUUAGCCGGGGCUUCCUCCUUGGCUACCGUCACUUCCUUCUUCACCAAGGACAGAGGUUUACAAUCCGAAAACCUUCUUCCCUCACGCGGCGUUGCUGGGUCAGGCUUUCGCCCAUUGCCCAAUAUUCCCCACUGCUGCCUCCCGUAGGAGUCUGGACCGUUUCUCAGUUCCAGUGUGGCCGAUCACCCUCUCAGGUCGGCUACCCAUCGUCGCCUUGGUGGGCCGUUACCUCACCAACUAGCUAAUGGGACGCGAACUCACCCCAAACCGGAUUGCUCCUUUUACCUCAGUACCAUGUGAUACCGUGGUCUUAUGCGGUAUUAGCAGAUGUUUCCAUCUGUUAUCCCCCUGUCUGGGACAGAUUGUUCACGCGUUACUCACCCGUCCGCCGCUAGAAUAACCUCAGCACUCAUUGCUCCGGUUCACACUUCCGCGCUCCCCCGACCAAUCAGUGCCAAGCUCAUCCCCGCUCGACUUGCAUGUGUUAAGCACGCCGCCAGCGUUCGUCCUGAGCCAGAAUCGAACCCUGA